AUGUCCGCGACCCCGUGGCACCCGCCGGAAACGGCGGAGUCCUCCUCGGGCUUGUCGUCCUCCUCGUCCUAUCCCCCGGCGGCAGCAGCUCAGCAUCCGGCGUGCUCCGCCUGCAAGCACCAGCGCCGAAAGUGCACGCCGGGGUGCCCGCUUGCGCCCUAUUUCCCCGCGGACAAGCCCGGGAGCUUCCGCAACUCCCACCGCCUCUUCGGCAUCAAAAACAUACUCCGGUUCCUGACGAGAGCCGGCCCGGAGAAGCGGGACGAUUGCAUGAAAUCCAUACUGUACGAGGCCGACGCCCGUGCUUCCGAUCCGGUGCUCGGCGCGUACGGCCUCUUACAGAGUCACCAGCGAGAGCUUGCCUUGGCGACGGCCGAACUCGUGGCCUUAAAGGAGCAGCUGGAGUUGCACGGGCACGCCGCGCAGCACCGCUCGGCGCCGGACGCUCUGGGCUUCCUCUCGCCGGUCCAGCCGUGGAUGCCGCAGCCGCCGUCGAUGUAUCCGAUACAGGAGGGGCAGCAGCAGCCGAUCUACGGUAGCUACGUACUAGCUGGUGCUGCGAAGAUCGACGAGGACGCGACAAUCGGCGUGAAGCUUGACGAGGACGAUGUGAUGCCAAUGCAACAUGAUGAUCAUGCCGAUGGCUGUACAACACAUUACGGUAGAUUAGAGCCGUCAUCGUCGUCGAGCUACCGGUCUUCGGAUACUUCGCCUCGCGGACUUCUGAACCGUCGCGCUUUAGGUUUAAAGUACAAUCCUGGUUAA
rnacentral:rRNA from 1 species